GUGAGUGACGGUAAUGGGUAAAGAAGCACCGGCUAACUACGUGCCAGCAGCCGCGGUGAUACGUAGGGUGCGAGCGUUGUCCGGAUUUAUUGGGCGUAAAGGGCUCGUAGGUGGUUGAUCGCGUCGGAAGUGUAAUCUUGGGGCUUAACCCUGAGCGUGCUUUCGAUACGGGUUGACUUGAGGAAGGUAGGGGAGAAUGGAAUUCCUGGUGGAGCGGUGGAAUGCGCAGAUAUCAGGAGGAACACCAGUGGCGAAGGCGGUUCUCUGGGCCUUUCCUGACGCUGAGGAGCGAAAGCGUGGGGAGCGAACAGGCUUAGAUACCCUGGUAGUCCACGCUGUAAACGGUGGGUACUAGGUGUGGGGUCCAUUCCACGGGUUCCGCGCCGUAGCUAACGCUUUAAGUACCCCGCCUGGGGAGUACGGCCGCAAGGCUAAAACUCAAAGGAAUUGACGGGGCCCCGCACAAGCGGCGGAGCAUGCGGAUUAAUUCGAUGCAACGCGUAGAACCUUACCUGGGUUUGACAUGGAUCGGGAGUGCUCAG
rnacentral:rRNA from 1 species